CAAAGAGUCAGACAUGACUGGAGCAACUAACACAGGGCAUUAUAAAUAACAUCACGGGUGGAUAUGAAGUUCUUGUGCUCAUCACAGGGGGAUGUGCUCAGAGAGGAGACCUGCGUAGGGAGAGAAAGAAACCCACUGUGGAAUCCAGGCAAAAGCGGUGUGUGUCUUGGACUGGAGCUGUGCUAUGGGGAAGGUCAUCACGGAGUACCAGACUGGGAUCCCUGUGCAACACAGCAACUUCUCACCAGCUAUCAGCAAAUAUACACUAUCAGGAAGCCACGCUAGACAUCAGAAACAAGACUAUUUGGGGCAAGCUUUCUGAACAGAACACAAACUGAAAUAAAUCCGUUCACCCAGAUGUUUCCAUCACAAAUUGUGCCGACACAGCACAACUGCCUUUCCACAGGGAAAGAGUAAAGCGUCAAAAAACAGUAGGAACUAAAACUUAAAUUACACAGUAAAAAUGUUCAACAUUUAAAGUCUAGGGCUGUGGUUACAGAAUUUAAGUCAAAACCAGCGUAAACUUCAAAAACAACAACAAAGAUCCAGGAUGGCUUUUUAUUAGAGAAAUGAUCUCUCUCUUUUAUCUCAUCUGCAUCAACUUAAAAAAAGGAAAAAUCAUAUAACAUUAGAGUAAAAUGUAUUUGUAACUAUAUUUUAAGCCUAGCAAUUUCAGCUCAAUUUUCAGCAGCAAUGUUUCACUAGAAUCAAAGAUUUCCUAGAUGGUUUAAAAACACAGUGAAAAUUUGGCACUUUGAAACCUUACGUGAAUACAGCUUUAACUUCCUAUUUUCAAAGAAAAAUGAGAUUUAACAUAAAAAAAACUAAGGCAAUGCCCCUUAAGGUCCUUAAAAAAAAGAAAGAAAAGAAAUUCAACCUGCUGUACACAUUAAAUAAUUCAAAUCAAUGAUCCUUUUAAGCCCUUAGCAAUGCAUGAGCCAAUGGGGAAAAGCAAUCUAAUACUUCAUGCAUUUAGGGGAUUGCAUUAGAAAGACUCUUAGCCUGCUUCUGCUUUUAUAAAUGCAAAUAUAUGCAGAGCAGACAGAUUGGGAUCGGUACAAUUUAGCAAUGAUCGAAACUUGUAAUUUUUGAAAAUGGGACAGAUGUCCAGACUAGUUAUAUUAAGAUGUUGCUUAUUGAAGAAGAAACCAAACAAACAAUCCAAUUCCACCUCCUCCUUAAAAAGGAAACAAAUAAACAAUGCUACCACAAAUUCAAAUAAGCUGUAUGUCAUCUUGUUUCUUUUAUAGAAUCUGAAAGCUGAAAGACAGCUUAGGGUAGAGGAAUAAAUAUUUCCUGACUGUAUCAUUCACUGCAUUACUCAUCUUCCUGUCCCUAAAACACAGAAAUGGGGGGAAAUGCUCCCCCAUUCAAGGGCCACUGAGGUCAGAGAUCAGCUAGAUCUCUGGUCAACAAAUAAGGGCUGAAUGAAUGCCAUCUUACUUUAUUCACUCAAAGUUGCUGAGUGCUUACUGUAUUUCUAUACUUGGAAUAUAAUGGCUCCCCGGGCUUAUUUGAUGAUAUUGAGUGCCUAGAAUGUGC
rnacentral:lncRNA from 1 species